AAGUUGUUGCAGUUAAAAUUCUCGUACUUGGACUUUGGGAUGGGCCGGCCGGUCCGCCUUAGGUGUGCACCUUUCGUCUCAUCCCUUCUGCCGGCGAUGCGCUCCUGGCCUUAAUUGGCCCGGUCGUGCCUCCGGCGCUGUUACUUUGAAGAACUUAGAGUGCUCAAAGUAAACCUACACUCUGUAUACAUUAGCAUGGGAUAACAUUAUAGGAUUUCGGUCCUAUUACGUUGGCCUUCGGGAUCGGAGUAAUGAUUAACAGGGACAGUCGGGGGCAUUCGUAUUUCAUUGUCAGAGGUGAAAUUCUUGGAUUUAUGAAAGACGAAUAACUUCUUUUUUAUUUUCAUUUUUCUGAGCCGAGGGUCUAUCAGAAAUAGCCUCUCUGCCCUAUCGGGUAGGGGUAAGGUCUGCGUACACAUUACCCUCCCCAGACCCCACCUGGUGGGAUUUUACUGGGUAGUUGUUUUUGUUGUUAUUGUUAUUGUAUGAAAGACGAACAACUGCCAAAUCAUUUCCCAAGGAUGUUUUCAUUAAUCAAGAACGAAAGUUGGGGGCUCGAAGACGAUCAUAUACCGUCCUAGUCACAACCAUAAAUGAUGCCGACCAGGGAUCGGCGGAUGUUGGUUUUAGGACUCCGUCGGCACCUUAUGAGAAAUCAAAAUUUUUGGGUUCCG
rnacentral:rRNA from 1 species